ensembl:lncRNA
CUAACCACCACAUCCACGGCAGCGAUCCCUUAAGUGGUGGUGAUAUUAUUAUUUUAUUAUUGCCAGCCAGUGGCUUUAAAGGUGCAUUAUUUUAAUGCAUUAUUAAUUGUUUUCCCAGGGAGAGAAGGAAACUGGGGAUAGGGCUUAUUAUUAUUAAUAGCGAGGAGAUCACUCGCUCCUUUCGCGCACGACGAGGAGAGCGGUGGGAGGAGGCAGCGCCGGAGGGAGGCGGCAGCGGAGCGCACCCCGCUCUCAGGCUCGUUGCGCGGCCGCGGGAACCACCCGCGGGGGCCCGGCGCAGCCCUCGCCUCUCCCUCCCUGUGCCCCCACCCUCGCCCUGUUGCCCUAGCCUUCGGGCGGAAAGUUCCGCGGGCAGCGGCCAACCUCGUGCCUGCCCAAAGCAGCCCCUCGGCAUCCCCCCCAGCUCCAGCCCCAGCCCCAGUCAUAGCUCCGCGCGGGCGGCGUGUCUCCGCGGGCGCCGAAGUUGCGGCAGGGCCGGGGGGCCUCUGCGACUGCCAGCCAUCAAGUGGCUCGUUAAGGAAAUGCAGCUCCUUCGGGGCCUGUGUGGACUAGGGGCACAACCCGGCGCCUGACUGGCAGGAGGGAAAGCGGAGACUCCUUCAGGUUUCCAAAGAGGUCCGAGUGGACUGCAUUAGGAAAACUUGAAGAGUCUUUCACUUUUCAUCCUCCAGUCACUGACUGUGCUAUAAGGAUACUGUGGUGAGGUGGUGGGAGUGAAAAACAUCUGCUUUCCUGAUCUCUUAUAGUCUAACAUAGAAUUUGAUGGACAGAAUGUUGGUACCAGCUAUGGAAGAGCUGUUCAGCCUCAACUCCAAAACUCUAUCCUGAGACACAACUACAGGAUGUGCCUUGGAGAAGUAUCUCAGGAUAGAGAAAUUCUGAAUGAAUUCCAAACCUCUGAGCUGAGGGCAACCGUGAUGUUCGUUGCUUAGGGGAGCCUGCAGCUUGGCCAAAUACCGAGGUGACACCAAUAUGAUGAGCGGUAAAAUGGCGUUUAUUAAGUUCUAACAAGCACUUAUAUAUCUUUUAACCCUUCGUGUAUGCCCACUGGAUGGUACAUGUGGCACGUACCUAACGCAUGGGGAGGAGCCUGACACGUUACAUCCCAAGACCCCGAUCACGCCUAUUACAACACUGCAUUUGCAAGUAACAUAAAGAUCUAGAUGUUCUGGGACAUCCAAAAUCAUAUUUUCAAACAGAUUUGAAGGCAGAUUUGUUAAAAGCUCAAUGUAGCCAGUAUUCUUGAAAGUCACAGAAGGCCAAUAUCAUCAAAUGUCUCUUGCAUAACCUAGUAAUUACUUUCACAUGUUGUAGAUGGUUCAACUACUUUUUUUUUUUUUUUUUUUUUUGGUAAAUGGAGCUGUAGUAUAACAUUAUGUGCUGUGAC